CAAAUGGCCACAGAGGGCGAAAAAAUCGACCGCGCGCUGCUGCUAACAAAGCCAGCAUAGUAAUAUCACUUCGGGAUGCUUACGUUAGUUUGAACAUUUUCCGCUGGAGGCGCCGUAAUAAGCGCAAUUUUUUUUUGCAAACUUUCUCCUACAAUUACCGAAGUACGUUUAUUACAUGAAAAAGAGGGCGAAAUUAUCAUUGCUAAUUUGAUAUUGUAUUCUUUGUAAGUAAGUUUAUUGUUUCUUUGUCAUUAUAAACGCAAAUAGCGUUCAGCAUCAUCGAUCUUUCACGUGACCUCUGGCCUGGAUUUAAAAUUUUUACCGGUAUUUUCGAGUGCAUGGCGGCACGGAUUCAUUCGUUCGUGCGCUCAGGCUGGUUGCUUCUUUUUCGCUAAAACUAGUUUAUUGCGCUUCGGUGUCACGCGUUAUUUAACCUGGGGUGAAGUGACGUGUUUGCAAGCGGACAUGUAAGCCCGAAAGUUGGGUAUCAGUCGUGAGCCAUUCGGAACACGUCUGCAUCGAAACGGGAGCUGGAUUCUGGUGCGGCUGACAACGGCAAUAACGACAUGCAGUAAUGAGGAUGGCACCAGUAUAAAGCAACACACUCCACACACUAAACAGAAGCUGCUGCCUGCUACAACAAGGCCAUUGUGUGGACAUUGGCUGCUACUACAAGAGUCCAUGCCAAGCAUACCUUGGUCAUCACAGGAGCUCCUAUCCACACCAACAGAAAGGGGCUGGAGCUGAAUUUGCAAGGCUUUUACACCACGAACAAAGAAGUGCAUGCAGAAGAAUUUACAUGAGAUAUCAAGUCUGCAGAGCACUGUGUCAAGACUGAAAAGAGCUUCAGCCACCAUUCCACCAGCGCGGACAAAUUGGCUGAGUCAUCCAGGUAACUCAAAAAGGACUUUAUGGAAAUUCUUCGUCUUCAGGUGCGCCUGCAACUUCUGAUCAAGCUCGGACGACGCUGGCCAAAAGAGUUCCAUCAGUUUGCCCUUAAUCAGCUUCCUGGCCAUGUCAAUUCCAUUUGUGCCAAGUGUAAUUUUUCUUCUAUAAAUGCAAGGUUUUUCAUUGCCCAUUCUCGUUAGAGAUCAUUCAUCCUCAUCCAAACAUAAAGGUCAACCGAUUCUUUGCUGAUACUUAACACCAGUCACUGUCUAGUAGCAUAACAUAUCUGUAGCAGUACCUUUUAGUGCAUGUUGUCAUGCACAAUUCCUCUCCUGAAAUAGCUGAUGCAACAUCGACAUGUUUCUUGCAUUAACCUACACACUGUUUGCUAUGCACCAUUUUACUUUUCUUGAUGUUUUUGGCCUUCAAUGCUUGCAGAGCAGGGUGGCUUCUCUCUUGAAUGCAAGCUUUCUCAUUUUCCAUAUUCCUAGUCUCGUUGAUGGUUGCUCUUCUUCCUCGAUAGCCUGGGUCUUUGCGCAAGCUACACUGAAUGAUAGAUUGCAGAAUCUGGUUUUGCUGCCCCACUUGGUUGUGGUCGCCGUGUUACAUUUCUCUGAUGUGGGGGCCUGCUCAGUUACAUUGGUAAGCAGUCCCUCGAGGUAAGCAUUUGCUCCUGCAGUCCGCACAGCGACAUGGACUCCCAGUGUACACACACCAUAACUGGUGCUCCCCGUUCAUUUUUUCCUGCUGCAGCCAUGGGCAAAUUGUGCUUGUGGCCUACCUCGGCCAUGAUUUGCUCAAAACUGAGACCAGCAUAUGUGCUUACAUGGUUCGAAGUGUAUGAAGUUGAUAGCCGUACGGGGGGAAAUGCCUGCAAAAAUGGCUGCCAAAGGUGAUGCCCACGAAAGCGACUUGUCCAUAUUGAGACAAAGUGGGACACCAAAUGUGAGCCACACAUUAGUGGCCUUCGACAGAAAAGAAACAUGCAGGUUGGAAAGGAGUUAAUGCUAAAAUGUCGGAUAGUCCAUUUCGCUGUGUUGGUUGUGGCAGCAGAUGCCUGCGUCACCUGAUUGCUUCGCAAUGGAAGUUGCUCAUCUUCAACGGCUACUGUCGUUUCAAACAGGUGCGACGCUCUGUCCAAUCUGUUUGUACUGCUGUUUGUCGCUCGUUACCAGACCACCACAUGUGACGAAGGCAAGCAUUAUGCCUGUAAGUAGGCGGCUGAAUGUAUCCUAAGAGACCCGUGUAUGUGAAUGCUCACUGUUGCCAUAUGG